ensembl:snoRNA
AUCCUUUUGUAGUUCAUAGGUGUGAUUAUUGGGUUUUCAUGCUCAUGUGUGAGAUGUACCUCCUUUAAACCUUGUUACAACAUGGGCACAUUACCUGUCUGAUG